AACGAACGCUGGCGGCAGGCCUAACACAUGCAAGUCGAGCGGACCUUUCGGGGUCAGCGGCGGACGGGUGAGUAACGCGUGGGAAUAUGCCCUUCUCUACGGAAUAGUCCUGGGAAUCUGGGGGUAAUACCGUAUACGCCCUUUGGGGGAAAGAUUUAUCGGGGAAGGAUUAGCCCGCGUUGGAUUAGGUAGUUGGUGGGGUAAUGGCCUACCAAGCCGACGAUCCAUAGCUGGUUUGAGAGGAUGAUCAGCCACACUGGGACUGAGACACGGCCCAGACUCCUACGGGAGGCAGCAGUGGGGAAUCUUAGACAAUGGGGGCAACCCUGAUCUAGCCAUGCCGCGUGAGUGAUGAAGGCCUUAGGGUUGUAAAGCUCUUUCAGCUGGGAAGAUAAUGACGGUACCAGCAGAAGAAGCCCCGGCUAACUCCGUG
rnacentral:rRNA from 1 species